GUCCACGCCCUAAACGAUUGACACUAAGUGUAGCCGGCGAUGGCCGGCUGUGCCGCAGCUAACGCAGUAAGUGUCCCGCCUGGGGAGUACGGCCGCAAGGUUGAAACUCAAAGGAAUUGACGGGGGCCCGCACAAGCGGUGGAGCAUGUGGUUCAAUUCGACGCAACACGAAAACCUUACCUGGGUUUGACAUGCAGGUGGUACUGAACCGAAAGGGGAUGGACCCCGCAAGGGGAGCCUGCACAGGUGCUGCAUGGCUGUCGU
rnacentral:rRNA from 1 species